AUUGAACGCUGGCGGCAGGCCUAACACAUGCAAGUCGAACGGUAACAGGAAGAAGCUUGCUUCUUUGCUGACGAGUGGCGGACGGGUGAGUAAUGUCUGGGAAACUGCCUGAUUGAGGGGGAUAACUACUGGAAACGGUAGCUAAUACCGCAUAACGUCGCAAGACCAAAGAGGGGGACCUUCGGGCCUCUUGCCAUCGGAUGUGCCCAGAUGGGAUUAGCUAGUAGGUGGGGUAACGGCUCACCUAGGCGACGAUCCCUAGCUGGUCUGAGAGGAUGACCAGCCACACUGGAACUGAGACACGGUCCAGACUCCUACGGGAGGCAGCAGUGGGGAAUAUUGCACAAUGGGCGCAAGCCUGAUGCAGCCAUGCCGCGUGUAUGAAGAAGGCCUUCGGGUUGUAAAGUACUUUCAGCGGGGAGGAAGGGAGUAAAGUUAAUACCUUUGCUCAUUGACGUUACCCGCAGAAGAAGCACCGGCUAACUCCGUG
rnacentral:rRNA from 1 species